rnacentral:rRNA from 1 species
ACGCUCGACACCUACGGAGGCAGCAGUGGGGAAUAUUGCACAAUGGGGGAAACCCGUGAUGCAGCGACGCCGCGUGAGCGAAGAAGUAUUUCGGUAUGUAAAGCUCUAUCAGCAGGGAAGAAACUGACGGUACCUGACUAAGAAGCACCGGCUAAAUACGUGCCNGCAGCCGCGGUAAUCUGAGCGGGCUGGCAAGGC